rnacentral:rRNA from 1 species
AUGCGAGCGUCGCCGGCGACCGACGACAAGCGGCGGACCGGCGAAGCGAGCGCCACAUCAGGGGAAGGUGGUCACCAGCAAGUCCACGGGGCGGGGGGUGGGUGUGGUGAGUUGCUUGCGCGCGCGACCAGGGAGAAGAGGGAGUUGGGCGUGGCGGCGGCCGACGGGGGACGAGGCUCUCUGCUACGUGCACGAACAGAGAAGUCAAGUGCAAGACAUAGGCAACAUAAAAUUUCAAGAGCCAGCAUCUUCUCUAUCAUCCAGUUCUACAGGGAAGAGGGGAGGCAAGAACAUGAGGGGGAGAUUUUGUGCAAGAUCAAGUUUCGCAGCACAUGGUACAGGAGGCAUUUUUGCAGCUUGUAUAUCACACAGGGAUGUACAGAGGUGGAGUUCCACUAG